GUGAACGCUGGCGGUAGGCCUAACACAUGCAAGUCGAACGGCAGCACAGUAAGAGCUUGCUCUUACGGGUGGCGAGUGGCGGACGGGUGAGGAAUACAUCGGAAUCUACUUUUUCGUGGGGGAUAACGUAGGGAAACUUACGCUAAUACCGCAUACGACCUACGGGUGAAAGCAGGGGAUCUUCGGACCCUGCGCGAUUGAAUGAGCCGAUGUCGGAUUAGCUAGUUGGCGGGGUAAAGGCCCACCAAGGCGACGAUCCGUAGCUGGUCUGAGAGGAUGAUCAGCCACACUGGAACUGAGACACGGUCCAGACUCCUACGGGAGGCAGCAGUGGGGAAUAUUGGACAAUGGGCGCAAGCCUGAUCCAGCCAUACCGCGUGGGUGAAGAAGGCCUUCGGGUUGUAAAGCCCUUUUGUUGGGAAAGAAAAGCAGCAGGUUAAUACCCCGCUGUUCUGACGGUACCCAAAGAAUAAGCACCGGCUAACUUCGUG
rnacentral:rRNA from 1 species